rnacentral:rRNA from 1 species
GAUGAACGCUGGCGGCGUGCCUAAUACAUGCAAGUCGAGCGAACAGAUGAGGAGCUUGCUCCUCUGACGUUAGCGGCGGACGGGUGAGUAACACGUGGAUAACCUACCUAUAAGACUGGGAUAACUUCGGGAAACCGGAGCUAAUACCGGAUAAUAUAUUGAACCGCAUGGUUCAAUAGUGAAAGACGGUUUUGCUGUCACUUAUAGAUGGAUCCGCGCCGCAUUAGCUAGUUGGUAAGGUAACGGCUUACCAAGGCAACGAUGCGUAGCCGACCUGAGAGAGUGAUAGGCCGCACUGGAACUGAAACACGGUCCAGACUCCUACGGGAGGCAGCAGUAGGGAAUCGUCCGCAAUAGGCGAGAGCCUGACGGAGCAACGCCGCGUGAGUGAUGAAGGUCUUCGGAUCGUAAAACUCUGUUAUUAGGGAAGAACAAAUGUGUAAGUAACUAUGCACGUCUUGACGGUACCUAAUCAGAAAGCCACGGCUAACUACGUG